UGGCUGGGGGUGAAAGGCCAAUCAAACCGGGAGAUAGCUGGUUCUCCCCGAAAGCUAUUUAGGUAGCGCCUCGUGAAUUCAUCUUCGGGGGUAGAGCACUGUUUCGGCUAGGGGGUCAUCCCGACUUACCAACCCGAUGCAAACUACGAAUACCGAAGAAUGUUAUCACGGGAGACACACGGCGGGUGCUAACGUCCGUCGUGAAGAGGGAAACAACCCAGACCGCCAGCUAAGGUCCCAAAGUCAUGGUUAAGUGGGAAACGAUGUGGGAAGGCACAGACAGCCAGGAUGUUGGCUUAGAAGCAGCCAUCAUUUAAAGAAAGCGUAAUAGCUCACUGGUCGAGUCGGCCUGCGCGGAAGAUGUAACGGGGCUAAACCAUGCACCGAAGCUGCGGCAGCGACACUAUGUGUUGUUGGGUAGGGGAGCGUUCUGUAAGCCUGCGAAGGUGUGCUGUGAGGCAUGCUGGAGGUAUCAGAAGUGCGAAUGCUGACAUAAGUAACGAUAAAGCGGGUGAAAAGCCCGCUCGCCGGAAGACCAAGGGUUCCUGUCCAACGUUAAUCGGGGCAGGGUGAGUCGACCCCUAAGGCGAGGCCGAAAGGCGUAGUCGAUGGGAAACAGGUUAAUAUUCCUGUACUUGGUGUUACUGCGAAGGGGGGACGGAGAAGGCUAUGUUAGCCGGGCGACGGUUGUCCCGGUUUAAGCAUGUAGGCUGGUUAUCCAGGCAAAUCCGGAUAAUCAAGGCUGAGGUGUGAUGACGAGGCACUACGGUGCUGAAGUAACAAAUGCCCUGCUU
rnacentral:rRNA from 1 species